GACGAACGCUGGCGGCGUGCCUAAUACAUGCAAGUUGAGCGCUGAAGGUUGGUACUUGUACCUACUGGAUGAGCAGCGAACGGGUGAGUAACGCGUGGGGAAUCUGCCUUUGAGCGGGGGAUAACAUUUGGAAACGAAUGCUAAUACCGCAUAAAAUCUUUAAACACAAGUUUUAAGUUUGAAAGAUGCAAUUGCAGUACUCAAAGAUGAUCCCGCGUUGUAUUAGCUAGUUUGUGAGGUAAAGGCUCAACAAGGCGAUGAUACAUAGCCGACCUGAGAGGGUGAUCGGCCAACUUGGGACUGAGACACGGCCCAAGCUCCUACGGGAGGCAGCAGUAAGGAAUCUUCGGCAAUGGACGAAAGUCUGACCGAGCAACGCCGCGUGAGUGAAGAAGGUUUUCGGAUCGUAAAACUCUGUUGAUAGAGAAGAACGUUGGUGAGAGUGGAAAGCUCAUCAAGUGACGGUAACUACCCAGAAAGGGACGGCUAACUACGUG
rnacentral:rRNA from 1 species